rnacentral:lncRNA from 1 species
AUUGACAUCUUUUACGAUUGUGAGCUCCCAUUAAUUAUAAUAUACCAAAAAUGUUGACAUUGUACAAGGAAGACAACGUAAUGUGUUAUGCUUGUUCACAUUCACAUAGAAGUUAUAUUAUUAAAGAUCCUCUAACAUGUAGUGCUUGCCCAAUAUCUUUGCUAGCCAAAGCUCUGCACUAAGUAGAGAUACUACUUGUGCAUCCAAAACCUUAAACCCAAUUCCAUGUUUCGAGAGUCCACCAUACCUACC